ensembl:lncRNA
GUUGUUAUGCUCACCUAGGCUGCAUUUAUUUAUCCAAAAAUAUAGUAAAAAUCCAUGAUGAAAAAAAGUAUUCAUUUCUUAAUUCAAUAUCAGUCUUUAACCUUUAUUGUAAGAAUCCUCUCCUAUACCUGUUUGUUCAACCGUAUUUGUUUCCACAGUACAGUUUGAAGUGAGAUUACCUGCUCUUCCUCUCCAGAUAUCUUCCAGUUCCUCUUCCUCCUGCUGGAAUAGCCAGUGGCCUGGCUUAAGAAGCUCCUCCAUGCUGAUGAGGACAAUGGGAGUAAGUGGACUUUCGUUUACCGAAGGAAGUCCUGGAGAAGUGCCCAGUUCUCCUCCACCUCGGCCUGUUUGCAUGUAACUCUUUUGGCCAGGGUUGGGUGGAGAGUCAACAGGCAAGACGCAGACUCAUUCAGCAUCUGGAAAGAGAGUUGUCCAGGGAGGGGUGGGGUCAUGGAAGGAAAUGACAUCAUUCAUUUGGAGUUCAUUUGCUACAGUGUGUUUACAUAAGAAGACAUUAUUUCCUCUAAUGAGAUCAUGGGUUUUACUUACGUUGAUCUGACAGGCAAUUUCUCUGGUCUCUUUGUCACUUUUUUGGAUGUCACCCGCCAAUACAUGGUUCCUCUGCAACAAAAUUCAUCCUGGAUCAGGACUUGUAUUACAAUCAUGAUUUAUAAAGACAGU